ACAAUGUUCUCUCACUUUGGUUCUGACCUUUCUUCUUCUUCCCCAUCUGAGAAUUCUCUUGGCUUCACUGUGCCAACUUAACCAAGAAAAUAUAAUCACUUACAAACCUAAUUGAGUUUCUAAGUUGAUUCUUUCUUGCCAAGUAAAACACCAGAUAAACAUGGAAUUGAAAUGAACAUUUUUGGGAGGUCAUGGUUUUGUUAUGUAUAGCCUCUAGCAUGGAACACCAAAGCUCCCACUACAUUGGGGAGAAUUUUCAUAUUGUUAUUGUCCAUUUACUUCUUGCUCUAUCAUAUAUUCAGCAUUGAUUUGCGAACACACUGUGGGGCCAAGGAAUGCUCCUUUGAAGCUCUUUCUCUUUCAAUUUCACAGAACUGAAAUCUUACAUCUUUCCCUUUCUGUUUCCUUUUAUACCAAAGGAAGUCCCCGAACUCAGGUGUAGUUUUGAAUCACCAUUCCAAAUAAAAUUUACCAAUUCAAGAUUAGAAUUGACCAUCCACUCUGGUUUACUGAAUAUAUAAAUAUAAACAAGUAUUUCUUUCUCCACAGAAAGCAGAUACUUAAGGCUAAUGCCAAGCUAAUCCUGAGCAAAGCCUAGUAUUAUACUCUACUCAAUCUUUGUGCUAAUCCAAUCAAGAGCUCUGAAAAUGUCUUGGAAUUUUGCCAUGGGGAUCAGGAUGAUCAAAUUAUUGGAAACAAAUACUCCUCAGCAAUAAACAAAUGGAUAACAUUUCAUAAAAAUGUAGAAAUUACACACAUGUAACAUACUUCCCUAUAUUUGUAUAUUGUGAGGAGCAGGUGUGGCAGCAGUCCCAAGAUGGCGCCCAGAACUGUAGCCAAGUUUUAUGACUUUCACCUUCUUCCUCAUACACCUGAAAAUAAGCCACAUCCAUCGUGAGAACUGCACAAGUGCACCAUGAUGCAAGAUUGGACCAUAUGACGAGUGAUGAUUCUGGCCAAUGGACUGCUGUUACAUGGACUGGGCUGAUGGGGCAUGGUUGAGAGGAUAUAUAAGGAAUUGCGAUUGGGGUCGGGUUGGUUGGUGUUGUUUUUUCCUGGAGAGAUUGAUUUCUGGAGAGAGAUUCAUGCAUGAUGUUGAAAGGUUCCAGAAUAAACUGCUUUGAGAAGAACGUAGUGUUGUUGCUCUUUUCUGCUGGUCAGAACAGGAAGCGACAGUAUAUUAACGAUUGCUCACUCGUUUUGUCUGUGAUUAUGUUAAAAUGUCAGAGAACAUUUAUAUCUAUGUUAUUGUUGAGUUUAGG
rnacentral:lncRNA from 1 species